rnacentral:lncRNA from 1 species
AGAGACACAGCAAGUAUAGACAGCUCGGAAGACCUUGACCCCCACCCACCCCAAUCGACGUGUUUUCCUGGGCUUUACUCUUUGCUUCCGUUAGUCACUUUGGCCAAGGUUUCUCCUGCGUAGACGUCAGGAUGGCGAGGACAGAGGCCAGGAAGGAAGGAGAUGUGUCCCAGAAAGCUGAAGCCCCCUCCUGGGGCAGCCUUUUGGAAGGAGCUUCUGAUACCUAACCUGGAUCAUUCCUGCUGCAGUAUCAGCAGGUGUCAGCCGGGGAAGGAGAAGCCUUCUGUGAAUGACAGUCCUUCAGAUGACUAAAAACAGCUGAACUCUAUCCCAAGCAGAUAUAAGAGAGGUGGAGAUCAGGAUCUCACCCUCCCCAGCCUCUAAUAACCCCAAAUCCUGGAUUGGUG